rfam:Clostridiales bacterium 42_27 Ley3_66761_scaffold_3193, whole genome shotgun sequence.
UGCCCGGCCCAGGGCGUACAAAACGGGCAGCGCAGGGGAAGCGACCCCCGAUAUCAAAGCGUA